UUGCGUUUAUUUGUUUCUAUUUUUUCCUCCGUCAAUUUAGGUAAACUUAGGAACACAGAGCAUAGGACAGGGAUUAGUUCUUAACUUUUUUUUUUUUUUUUUGGUAGUCAUCAUGACCAAGGACCAGACUAUACAUAUAAGACUAUAAACAAAUAAGGAAGGGAAGGAGGGUGGGAGGGAGGGAGGGAGGAAAGAAGGGAGGGAGGAAGGAAGGAAGGGAGGGAGGGAGGGAGGGAGGGAGGAAGAGAGGGAAGGAGGGAAAGAGGAAGAGAAGGAAGAAAGAAGGAAGAAGCAGACUCCUUAGCAUGUAGGGGGCAUGUAAACCAAAAACACUUAACUUGACUCCUACAGAUCAUUGAGGCAGAAUCCGAUUAGUUCUUCACCAGUGUCUCUGUUCCCUUCAUCUUUGGCAUACUUCUAAAUUGCAUUCGCCAAUUUCACGUGAGGACAUGUGGCUAAUUCCCCACGGAAUGUCAGCAGAAGGGAUGUGUGUUACUUCUAGGAACGGCCCCUAAAAUUUCCUGCCCUGUUGCUCAGGUUUCCUCCCCUUUCUCCUGCUGGAUACAUGCAAAGGAUCGAGUGGAGGUCUCCAAGGCCCUGCAAGAUGGUACAGCCACACACGAAGCACCUGGGUCCCCCUUCAUAUUGGGCUGUGACAUGAGAAAGGAAGCAACAAGUCGACCAUCAUUUCUGCCAUUGAAGGAGAAUGUUACCUGAGACCACCCUUGGUCACAACUCUAAGAUAUCCCUCGGUCUCCCUGAGGUGCGCUGUGCAGAGAUUGGACAUCACAAGCUUC
rnacentral:lncRNA from 1 species